rnacentral:rRNA from 4 species
AGAGUUUGAUCAUGGCUCAGAUUGAACGCUGGCGGCAGGCCUAACACAUGCAAGUCGAACGGUAACAGGAAACAGCUUGCUGUUUCGCUGACGAGUGGCGGACGGGUGAGUAAUGUCUGGGAAACUGCCUGAUGGAGGGGGAUAACUACUGGAAACGGUAGCUAAUACCGCAUAAUGUCGCAAGACCAAAGAGGGGGACCUUCGGGCCUCUUGCCAUCGGAUGUGCCCAGAUGGGAUUAGCUUGUUGGUGGGGUAACGGCUCACCAAGGCGACGAUCCCUAGCUGGUCUGAGAGGAUGACCAGCCACACUGGAACUGAGACACGGUCCAGACUCCUACGGGAGGCAGCAGUGGGGAAUAUUGCACAAUGGGCGCAAGCCUGAUGCAGCCAUGCCGCGUGUAUGAAGAAGGCCUUCGGGUUGUAAAGUACUUUCAGCGGGGAGGAAGGGAGUAAAGUUAAUACCUUUGCUCAUUGACGUUACCCGCAGAAGAAGCACCGGCUAACUCCGUGCCAGCAGCCGCGGUAAUACGGAGGGUGCAAGCGUUAAUCGGAAUUACUGGGCGUAAAGCGCACGCAGGCGGUUUGUUAAGUCAGAUGUGAAAUCCCCGGGCUCAACCUGGGAACUGCAUCUGAUACUGGCAAGCUUGAGUCUCGUAGAGGGGGGUAGAAUUCCAGGUGUAGCGGUGAAAUGCGUAGAGAUCUGGAGGAAUACCGGUGGCGAAGGCGGCCCCCUGGACGAAGACUGACGCUCAGGUGCGAAAGCGUGGGGAGCAAACAGGAUUAGAUACCCUGGUAGUCCACGCCGUAAACGAUGUCGACUUGGAGGUUGUGCCCUUGAGGCGUGGCUUCCGGAGCUAACGCGUUAAGUCGACCGCCUGGGGAGUACGGCCGCAAGGUUAAAACUCAAAUGAAUUGACGGGGGCCCGCACAAGCGGUGGAGCAUGUGGUUUAAUUCGAUGCAACGCGAAGAACCUUACCUGGUCUUGACAUCCACGGAAGUUUUCAGAGAUGAGAAUGUGCCUUCGGGAACCGUGAGACAGGUGCUGCAUGGCUGUCGUCAGCUCGUGUUGUGAAAUGUUGGGUUAAGUCCCGCAACGAGCGCAACCCUUAUCCUUUGUUGCCAGCGGUCCGGCCGGGAACUCAAAGGAGACUGCCAGUGAUAAACUGGAGGAAGGUGGGGAUGACGUCAAGUCAUCAUGGCCCUUACGACCAGGGCUACACACGUGCUACAAUGGCGCAUACAAAGAGAAGCGACCUCGCGAGAGCAAGCGGACCUCAUAAAGUGCGUCGUAGUCCGGAUUGGAGUCUGCAACUCGACUCCAUGAAGUCGGAAUCGCUAGUAAUCGUGGAUCAGAAUGCCACGGUGAAUACGUUCCCGGGCCUUGUACACACCGCCCGUCACACCAUGGGAGUGGGUUGCAAAAGAAGUAGGUAGCUUAACCUUCGGGAGGGCGCUUACCACUUUGUGAUUCAUGACUGGGGUGAAGUCGUAACAAGGUAACCGUAGGGGAACCUGCGGUUG